GUAGCGUAUAUUAAAGUUGUUGCAGUUAAAAAGCUCGUAGUCGAACCUCGGACUCGGCGGGAUGGUCCGCCUUACGGUGUGUACUGUCUUGCUGGGUCUUACCUCUUGGUGAAGCCUUAUGCCCUUUACUGGGUGUAGGGUCGAACCAGGAAUUUUACUUUGAGAAAAUUAGAGUGUUCAAAGCAGGCCUUUGCCCGAAUACAUUAGCAUGGAAUAAUAGAAUAGGACGUGCGGUUCUAUUUUGUUGGUUUCUAGAGUCGCCGUAAUGAUUAAUAGGGAUAGUUGGGGGCAUUAGUAUUCAGUUGCUAGAGGUGAAAUUCUUGGAUUUACUGAAGACUAACUACUG
rnacentral:rRNA from 1 species